UAUCCCUGUUUCUAUAUGUUAGAAACCAAAAAUCAGAUUUUGGCCUUAACAUUACAAGUAUUCAUCUUCUCCUCAAAAACCCCUCCUCCUUCUUCUAUUUCCUCGUGAUUCUCUGUAAUCUUGAGGUAGUAAUGCAAUGUUCGAUUCCUGUGAAGCCUUGAAGCAACUUCCUCCCUCUCCUUGCGACAGAAUCGGGCAGCCAUCAAACCUCACCUUCUUCCUUUUUUUCCAUCUAUUAUUCAUCUUCUUCAUUUGCCCCCUUUUCCCAAAACCCUUACAUUUUCGAAAACCCCAAUCAUCUUCCUUUCAUUCUUGAUUUCGAAGCAAACUAGCAACCAAAAACAUCAUCUCAUUCUGUCUCGGUUUUGAAUUGUAGUUAACCCCAUUUUCUCUCAUCUUUUCUGAAUUUCGAGAGUGCUUUUGGCAAAUACAAGAACCAUUAUCUAAUUUCUUGGGUUGAUUUCUUUGGUGUACGACUGGGUCAGUGUAGGUGCAAGCUGAGGCAACAUCUCAAGGCUAAAUUCUUGCAGUCUCUCUUUCUGGAAAAUUUCGAAAGAACCAAAUAUUAACAUUUCCUCCAGUUUCCUAUGAUUUCUCGGCCAAUCAACAACAACUUCCUUCGUUUCGGUUGCCACUGGUUUCGAAGUGGGAAUGACUUUGCAAAGGAUCUUCUAGUUGAUAGCUAUAAUUUGGACUCAACUCGUUAAAACAACGUUGUAGUUUGUUUGCAGAUUGGAACUGGUCGGGAACGAUGGGUUAGCGGUGAUGAUUAGAGAUACAGAGAUGUUAUAUUUUGCUGAGUACGUGAGAAGUGUAGUAUUGUAUUAGGUUUUUGAUAAAUGUUCAUUAGACGUGGUUGUGUUGGUUAUAUUGGACUUAUAGAGUGGCUUUUAUGAUUACAAUGUAUUUUAGUUAUAUGUUUGGUUUGAGAAUUAACUGAUUUAGCUAUGUUUUAGAACUGGUGACCCUUUUGCUCAAAUUUUGGAAUUUAGAUUUAAGUUUCUUAGGAAAUAAACUCCGUGAUGACCCUAUUUACUCAGUCAACGGUAAGAUGGGUUAUUACAGCAAGCUGCUCAAUCAAUCGCUCGCUCGAGCAUGGGUCGAGCGAACCUGUUGCCCUUCUUUUCGUCAGUUUCUGUCUUCUAUUGUGUAUGCUACGUUGUUGCUCCCUUCUUAUGGUUUCUUCCCCUAUAAAUAUUCCUUUAUAUGCUAAAUAAUUGGUACACCAAAGUCUCAUACUUAGAGCAACCUUUAUUGUUUAGUUUUAUGCUAAGUUAGCUCCUCUCUUCUAUAGAUAACGUCUAUUGUAAUUUCUCUCAAGUUUUGUAUUUCUCCUUUAAACACAUUAAUAUAAUUCUAGGCUAGAUAGUGGAUGUACCAUAUUGAUUGGUGAACCAUCUUAAAUCCU